AGUUUACUAGAUAUCGGAUUUUUCUCAUUACAGAUAAUCUACAGACCAAAGAUGCAGCGGUGGGAGAGGACGUGACUCUGGACUGCCACGUUGGACCUGAUCUAAUCAACUUGAUCAAAUCAGUCGAAUGGAAAUUCAACGGUGAAGUCAAUGUCCUGGUUUACAAAAGCAAAGACUUUUCCCUCAAUGACCAGGGUGGAAAAUUCAGAGUCAGAGCGUCUGGAGGCGACAGAUGGGAUUUCAAGGGAGGGGAACUUCCUGUGAAAAUCUCACCGCUGCAGGAAUCUGAUGCUGGCAAUUACAGCUGCUCUGUUUCAAUUGGACUCGAACUCAAAGAAAUCUGCUCUAUAAAACUCAACGUUAAAAAAGCGGGUGAUAAAGAACAACGGGCCAUGGACCGAACUGCGACGGGCCAGAGCUGCAAAACUGUUGGCGACACUGUGUUGACUCUGUUGUUGGCCACGUCUACAUUACUGAACUUUAUGCACUACUGAAGAAACAUCGAAAGUCACAACAAAUAAAGAUUACAAAUACAAAACUGUACUGCAAAACAUUAAAAAAACAAAAAAAACUUUU